rnacentral:rRNA from 1 species
UACGUAGGGGGCAAGCGUUGUCCGGAUUUAUUGGGCGUAAAGAGCGUGUAGGCGGCUUGACAGGUCUGCUGUGAAAACUCGAGGCUCAACCUCGAGAUGUCGGCGGAAACCGUCUGGCUAGAGUCCGGAAGAGGAGAGUGGAAUUCCUGGUGUAGCGGUGAAAUGCGCAGAUAUCAGGAAGAACACCUAUGGCGAAGGCAGCUCUCUGGGACGGUACUGACGCUGAGACGCGAAAGCGUAGGGAGCGAACAGG